AUACGAAGGGGGCUAGCGUUGUUCGGAAUUACUGGGCGUAAAGCGCACGUAGGCGGCAUUCCAAGUUGGAGGUGAAAUCCCCGGGCUUAACCUGGGAACUGCCUCCAAAACUGGAAAGCUCGAGUCCGAGAGAGGUGAGUGGAAUUUCCAGUGUAGAGGUGAAAUUCGUAGAUAUUGGAAAGAACACCAGUGGCGAAGGCGGCUCACUGGCUCGGUACUGACGCUGAGGAGCGACAGCGUGGGGAGC
rnacentral:rRNA from 1 species